UACGGAGGGUGCAAGCGUUGUUCGGAAUCAUUGGGCGUAAAGCGAGCGUAGGCGGACCAGAAAGUCGGGUGUGAAAUCCCUCGGCUCAACCGAGGAAGUGCAUUCGAAACUCCUGGCCUUGAAUACUGGAGAGGGAAGCGGAAUUCCCGGUGUAGAGGUGAAAUUCGUAGAUAUCGGGAGGAACACCAGUGGCGAAGGCGGCUUCCUGGACAGAUAUUGACGCUGAGGCUCGAAAGUGCGGGUAGCAAACAGG
rnacentral:rRNA from 1 species